rnacentral:rRNA from 1 species
UACAGAGGAGCCAAGCGUUGUCCGGAUUGACUGGGCGUAAAGCGCACGCAGGCGGACGCGCGCGUGGGGUGUGAAAUCUGGCCGCUUAACGGCCAGGCGCCAUCCCAUACGGCGCGUCUGGAGCAAUGCAGAGGUCGGUGGAAUUGCCGGUGUAGUGGUGAAAUGCGUAGAGAUCGGGAGGAACAUCAGUGGCGAAGGCGGCCAUCUGGGACAACACUGACGCUGAAGCACGAAAGCGUGGGGAGCAAACAGG